rnacentral:rRNA from 1 species
AGAGUUUGAUCCUGGCUCAGAUUGAACGCUGGCGGUAUGCUUUACACAUGCAAGUCGAACGGGCUUGGGGGCUUGCUCCCAGGUUAGUGGCGAACGGGUGAGUAAUAUAUCGGAACAUAUCCGGAAGUGGGGGAUAAGCGUAAUCGAAAGUUGACGCUAAUACCGCAUAUGCCCUGAGGGGGAAAGGGGGGGAUCGCAAGACCUCUCGGCUUUCGGACGUGGCCGAUACCGGAUUAUGCUAGAUGGUGAGGUAGAAGGCUCACCAUGGCGACGAUCCGAUAGACGGGUCUGAGAGGACGACCCGCCACACUGGAACUGAGACACGGUCACAGACUCCUACAGGGAGGCAGCAGUGGGGAAUUGUUGGACUAAUGGGCGCAAGCCUGAUCCAGCCAUACCGCGUGAGUGAAUGAAGUCCUUACGGGUUGUAAAGCUCUUUCAGCCGGAAAAGAAAAUGGCUUCUAUUUAAUACUAAGGAAUAGAUGACGGUACCGGAAGAAGAAGCACCGGCUAACUACGUGCCAGCAGCCGCGGUAAUACGUAGGGUGCGAGCGUUAAUCGGAAUUACUGGGCGUAAAGCGUGCGCAGGCGGUUUGGUAAGACAAUGUAAAAACCCCGGGCUUAACCUGGGAACUGCAUUUGUGACUGCCAGACUAGAGUGUAGCAGAGGGGGGUAGAAAUCCACGUGUAGAAGUNAAAUGCGUAAAGAUGUGGAGGAAUAACGAUGGCGAAGGCAGCCCCCUGGGCUAAACACUGACGCUCAUGCGCGAAAGCGUGGGGAGCAAACAGNAUUAGAUACCCUGGAAAGACCACGCCCUAAACGAUGUCAACUAGGGGUUGGGGAAGGAGACUUCAUUUAGUACCGCAGCUAACGCGUGAAGUUGACCGCCUGGGGAGUACGGUCGCAAGAUUAAAACUCAAAGGAAUUGACGGGGACCCGCACAAGCGGUGGAUUAUGUGGAUUAAUUCGAUGCAACGCGAACCACCUUACCUACCCUUGACAUGUAAGGAUUUUCCCAGAGAUGGGAUGGUGCCUGGAAAGGAAACCAAGACCCAAGGUGCUGCAGGGCUGUCGCAAGUUCGUUUCGUGAGAUGUUGGGUUUUAGCCCGCCAACGAGCGCAACCAAUUGUCAUUAAUUGCCAUCAUUUAGUUGGGCACUUUAAUGAGACUCCCGGUGAUAAACCGGAGGAAGGUGGGGAUGACGUCAAGUCCUCAUGGCCCUUAUGGGUAGGGCUUCACACGUAAUACAAUGGCCGGUCCAGAGGGUUGCCACCCCGCGAGGGGGAGCUAAUCCCAGAAAGCCGUUCGUAGCCCGGAUCGGAGUCUGCAACUCGACUCCGUGAAGUCGGAAUCGCUAGUAAUCGCGGAUCAGCAUGUCGCGGUGAAUACGUUCCCGGGCCUUGUACACACCGCCC